rnacentral:rRNA from 1 species
ACUCCUGCGGGAGGCAGCAGUGGGGAAUAUUGGACAAUGGGCGCAAGCCUGAUCCAGCCAUGCCGCGUGAGUGAUGAAGGCCCUAGGGUUGUAAAGCUCUUUCACCGGUGAAGAUAAUGACGGUAACCGGAGAAGAAGCCCCGGCUAACUUCGUGCCAGCAGCCGCGGUAAUACGAAGGGGGUUAGCGUUGUUCGGAUUUACUGGGCGUAAAGCGCACGUAGGCGGACUAUUAAGUCAGGGGUGAAAUCCCGGGGCUCAACCCCGGAACUGCCUUUGAUACUGGUAGUCUUGAGUUCGAGAGAGGUGAGUGGAAUUCCGAGUGUAGAGGUGAAAUUCGUAGAUAUUCGGAGGAACACCAGUGGCGAAGGCGGCUCACUGGCUCGAUACUGACGCUGAGGUGCGAAAGCGUGGGGAGCAAACAGGAUUAGAUACCCCUGUAGUCCCA